rnacentral:rRNA from 1 species
CACUUGCCCAUUAAUUGUGGGGUAGAAUGAACGGAUAAACGAAAUAGAAUCUGUCUCUACAAAUACUAUAAAAAUUAAUCUCUAAUUGAAGACAAUUAGAUAAAAUCGAAGGACAAGAAGACCCUAUAGAGCUUCAUUUUAAUUGAAGAAAUUUCAAAAUAAAAUUCGGUUGGGGCGACCAAGGACAUUAUAAAUCAUCCUUAAAAUAAGAUCAAUAAAUCAAAACAAUGACCCUUAUUAAAGAUCAUAAAAUCAAGCUACCUUAGGGAUAACAGGCUAAUCCUACUAAAGAGUCCUUAUCAAAAGUGG